UUCAAAAAUAACCAUUUUAUGACAUUUGUCUCAAAACUAUCAAUAUGGUUAUUUUUUAUGAAUUUUUCCAAGAUCAAUUUUAACCAUUUAGGAACUUCUCGAGUAUAAACCAUAAAAUGGUUGAAUAAUUUGACGUCUUUUCAUCGCCAUUUUGGAAGCGACCAAUGGUGCAGCCGAACGCGUUUGUAAAUAUCUAUUUUUCCCCGUAACUCAAUCAAGUUAUCGAGUUUAUCACAUCGAAUCCGUAGGAAAUCAUGAAAAGGCACCGGAAGGACAUAGCUCCAGGUCCAAUUCAAAAACUAAUUGUAUCGAAACAUCCAGCUUGCGAGGAUGCAUUAACGUUACCUGGCCACAGCAGCAGCAGACGCAAGAAAAAAAACAUCAAUAGCUCUACGUGAAAGAUUUUAUGUACCUUACGAAAUCGUGGACUGGAAGAUACAUUAUUUAUGAAAAGAAUGCGUCAGUAGCGCCAGAUGAUUUCAACCUCAACAAACUAACGGCGUGUUCGUAAAUUGAUUUUAUCUAUCGAAAUGAUUUUUUCUAUCGAUGUUGUCGUUCGUAAAUUAAACAAACUGUAUGCAAAAGCAUUGGAAGGUGAUUUGACAUCUACCAAACAAAUCGAUGCAUCACCCAAACAAAUCAGUUUACGAACACGCCGUAAUUGUCUACUGGAACCUUGAAUGACACCAUCAAAACGCUCCUACUAAUCCUCCGUUAGGGCAAUCCAAUAGUACAGAUCCUCCGACCCUUCCUCCGGCAGCAGCAGAAAAGUUUGUUUUUCCUUACGAACUGUUUUUAUUAUCCGAGCUUAAACGGGCCAUCACUUUCGGAAACACAUCACCUGCCAGUCGUAGAUGAACCUCCUCAAAUAACAGCAGAUUGUGACAGCCUUUCCGCUAGAGCUACGGCUUUACAGAAUCUCACCAAGGUACACGAAAUCUCCACUUCCGUCACGGGAGAACUUCUGCUACCGCUGGUGUUAAGGCUGUGUUGAGCCUGAGUUUUCUGCUCCAGUUUAAAUAUUUAUUUAUUUUUUAUUUCGGUAAAAAUAUCUUUUAAUUAAAGUGGAAAAAGUAUUAUUUAUAAGAAAUAAAGAAACAAAUACAAAAACCGUAUUUUUCCUAAUAAUGUCGAUAAUUGAAAAAAUGCAGGUUGCUAAAAACUG